GACGAACGCUGGCGGCGUGGAUUAGGCAUGCAAGUCGAACGGUAUCAUCCUUUCGGGGGUGAGAGAGUGGCGAACUGGUGAGUAACACGUAGGUUAUCUACCCUCAAGACGGGGACAACCCAGGGAAACUUGGGCUAAUACCGGAUGUGAGCAACUUUUAGUUGUUUGAAAGGUGGCGUAAGCUGUCGCUUGGGGAUGAGCCUGCGUCCUAUUAGUUAGUUGGUGAGGUAACGGCUCACCUAGGCAAUGAUAGGUAGGCGGCCUUAACGGGUGGUCGCCCACACUGGGAUUGAGAUACGGCCCAGACUCCUACGGGAGGCAGCAGUCGAGAAUAGUCUACAAUGGCCGAAAGGCUGAUAGUGCGACGCCGCGUGAACGAAGAAGCCCUUCGGGUGUAAAGUUCUUUUAUAUGUGAGCAGUGCUUUCUAUGUGAACAGCAUGGGGAGAGAGAUAUUAGCAUAUGAAUAAGCAACGGCUAACUCCGUGCCAGCAGCCGCGGUAA
rnacentral:rRNA from 1 species